rnacentral:rRNA from 1 species
AUGAACGCUGGCGGCGUGCCUAAUACAUGCAAGUCGAGCGAACAGACGAGGAGCUUGCUCCUCUGACGUUAGCGGCGGACGGGUGAGUAACACGUGGAUAACCUACCUAUAAGACUGGGAUAACUUCGGGAAACCGGAGCUAAUACCGGAUAAUAUAUUGAACCGCAUGGUUCAAUAGUGAAAGACGGUUUUGCUGUCACUUAUAGAUGGAUCCGCGCCGCAUUAGCUAGUUGGUAAGGUAACGGCUUACCGAGGCAACGAUGCGUAGCCGACCUGAGAGGGUGAUCAGCCACACUGGAACUGAGACACGGUCCAGACUCCUACGGGAGGCAGCAGUAGGGAAUCUUCCGCAAUGGGCGAAAGCCUGACGGAGCAACGCCGCGUGAGUGAUGAAGGUCUUCGGAUCGUAAAACUCUGUUAUUAGGGAAGAACAAAUGUGUAAGUAACUAUGCACGUCUUGACGGUACCUAAUCAGAAAGCCACGGCUAACUACGUG